CUAUUUGCCAUAACUACGCGCUGCCAUUCUCUCCUCUUUUCUGGAAGCGUCUAUCUACACCGACUCUCUCCUUUUUCAGAAUAGUCUUAGAUGUUGGAUCUGCAAGCGUUUAUUUACACCGACAGAAGCUUUUGUCCACGCCUCCACGGGAAGAUUUACUGUUUCACACCAGCGGGUUUAGUCAUCCAUCAAAGCUUCUUUUGUGUUCGUCUUGAUAACAUUAAGUCUUCGAGAUUAUCGGGUUGAGCUAUCGACCAAAGUUCAAUGAAGUUCAACAAUGUCUUUCUCAGUUAUCAAAUUAGAGCUAAUGAAAUCUUUUUUUAUACGACUUAGAAGGAGAAGAGAGUGAGAGAGGGAGACAAGAACAGGGAAGAAGGGGAAGGAAGGGAAGAAAUCUCAACAUGGAUGAUAAUUAGAAUUUUCAACACACACAAAUAUUAUAGUAAAGACCCAACAAAAGAGGUAAUUGACUAAAUGAAGGCCAUAUUAUCAGUUUCGUUCAGACUCCCAUCACCAUCUGCAAAGCUUAAAAAACUUUUGACGAUUUAAAACACACUGAUUUUGUUGUUUUUUGAAGACUGAUGCUGGAAUGAUGCUUAGUUUUUUGGGUCUCUACCAUCUCACAUUUUGUCCAUAUCCAAUCAACCACUCCUUUUCUGAAAUUGAUGUAUGUCUGCAUCGGCAAAAAUUUUGCUGCCAUAAUUUUGCAGACCUACUUUCUUCAACUGAUUUGAGGAAGUUGUGAGGAAUGUCAUUCCAACCUUGCUAAAAAGCAAAGCGCCUGGCUGAAAAGCAAAAUUGCUAAGGUCAGAAGCCAAGAGAUGAACAAUUCUUUCUUCUUUUUUGAGGAAAAAAGACAAACCCGCAGCAUCACAAAUUUGUUUUUUUACUGGUUACCAGGAAUUGCAGCAUCUCUGAAUUCUUGAGACAAAUCAUUCUCAGAUAGAGUUCAAAUAGUACAAAAAGCCAAGUUAAAACUUCAAUGGAGAAGCUUCUUAAUCCAUAUGAUAAGGCAUCAGCAUUACCAUUUCAAAGCAUGAAAAAAGCAUUCAAGGAGAAGAGCAAGCAUUACCCAUGUUGGCUGGAAGGUUGAAAGGUUGAAAGACAAGGGGUUGUCUUUUUGAAGGUUGCUCUUGGCUGCCAUCAUCUUGGCUGGAAGGUUGAAAGACAAGGGGUUGUCUUUUUGAAGUGGAUUUCUUCUGGCUUACUUUUGAUCACUGUUGGGGAUUAAACGCUGCACAUAUUCAGGAAGUUCAGAAGAGCAACUGGUCAUAUAAUUUCCACAACCACGGGAGGCAAAAAUGGAGAGCUCAAACAGCUAAAUAUAUAUGCAGACCAUGGAGUAAGAAGGAAGCUAGAGACCAUAAUGAUCACGCCGAAGCUAAGCACAAACUCACCAAAGAAGAUAUACAGAAGAAAGCAGUUACAAUGCAUUAGUCUUAGUUUGAACUCGGUUAUCAAGAAGCUUGAAAAUACCUUUGCUCUCUCUUAAUAUAUGCUCUCGCCGGUUUGACAGUAAAGAGAGAGACAGACAACCACAAUUUGCUCUUAAAGGCCUGAUAGAGUUUUUGAUCUAUUAUUUGUGCUAAUGAACUGAAAUGCUAUUACUUGAAUCAUAAAAUGUGAAGCCAACGUCCCUCUCUUCACUUCUGCAAACAAUUCACUCCCAAUUCUAACUCCCGCAGCAAUGCGCGGGCAAACAUUUCUAGUUACCUAUACUAAAGCGCUAUCUCCGGAUGAACAGUAUCUGGCAAAUUGAUUUACAUUUUUACCCCUCAUUGUUUUUUUUAUUACAACGCUGCCAUGGAACCAACUGCGAGAGAGGGAUAUAGGUCUUCUGGGUCUUUCGCGGGAGAGGUCUUCUGGUCCACAAUUUCAAUCUUCUCCGAUUUUCAUCCAUCACUGCCUAACCCAAUUAUCCAGAUCCCUUUCUCAUCUCUAUUAACUACAUCAGGACACUGGUUAGGGUUACGCCAUUUGCAGAGAAGAGUUUUGAGGUUUGUGACCGCUGUUCAAGUCGUUGGACGUCUCCUGUGAUUGAGGUUGAUAAUGUUAUGGGCUCAAGCAGGGUUGAUGAAGAUGCUGAACCUGUUUUACAAUAUGGACAUAGGUUUUCAAUUCUCUGAAGGAGAUGGGAAUUAAACCUGAAUCUAUCAUAAUUAGAUGGAUAAUAAACCUCAUGCUGAAAUCGCAUAGAAUGUAAGAGUACUGAAUGAGGGAAUGACUGGAAUUUUGAAGACAAUGUCUAUUGGAAGCAUGUUGUGUGCCGCAUCGAAGCAUAUAAGGUUGUACUGCGUGGAGGAGCUAAGUUUGAGGCAAGCGAUGUUAUCUUAAAGAAUGGUAGCACCAGAAACAUGGAAGCAGCUUUGAAACAAAGCAAAGUUAACUGAAAAGCUCCACACAGCAAAGAUCUGGAAGCAGCUGCAAAGGUUGCACAGGAAUCUUAUGUAAAAAUUGGAAAGCUGAAAAAUCAUGUACCUCUUUGGCAAGCUAGAAAUUGAUCAGUUUAGAGUAAGUAUUGGUUAUUGGCUUUCUAAAUUUUAGCAUAAAUUGGCUUGCCAGUGUAUAGAUAUCUUUCUUAAUAUUCUAAAAAUAGCUACUCAUGCAAAGUGCUUUUGGGUAGAUGCAUA